UCCCUGCUGGGGGCUAUUGUUCAGAUGCAGCACUCCAAUAGGUACAAUGGGCCACAGCAAUCCUGUGAUUUUUGCAUGGCAUCUCAGCAGCUGCCAUAGCCCGGUCACUGGUACAUGG
ensembl:snoRNA small nucleolar RNA SNORA84